rnacentral:rRNA from 1 species
AGCUCCAAUAGCGUAUAUUAAAGUUGUUGCAGUUAAAAAGCUCGUAGUUGGAUUUGUGGUUUGAUCAGCCGGCUGGGCCUUUUGGCCUUUGCUGUGCUGGUCAUCCAUCCUUGGGUGGAAUCUGUGUGGCAUUAGGUUGUCGUGCAGGGGAGACCCAUCUUUUACUGUGAAAAAAUUAGAGUGUUCAAAGCAGGCUUAUGCCGUUGAAUAUGUUAGCAUGGAAUAAUAAGAUAGGACUUCAGUACUAUUUUGUUGGUUUGCGCACUGAGGUAAUGAUUAAUAGGGACAGUUGGGGGUAUUUGUAUUCCAUUGUAAGAGGUGAAAUUCUUGGAUUUUUGGAAGACAAACUACUGCGAAAGCAUUUACCAAGGAUGUUUUCAUUAAUCAAGAACGAAAGUAG